UACGGAGGGUGCGAGCGUUAAUCGGAAUCACUGGGCGUAAAGCGCACGUAGGCGGCUUGGUAAGUCGGGAGUUAAAGGCAACAGCUUAACUGUUGUAAGGCUUUUGAAACUACAUUGCUAGAGUACCAGAGAGGUAAGCGGAAUUUCCUGUGUAGCGGUGAAAUGCGUAGAUAUUGGGAGGAACACCGGUGGCGAAGGCGGCCUUCUGGCCUGUAACUGACGCUCAUGCACGAAAGCGUGGGGAUCAAACAGG
rnacentral:rRNA from 1 species